GGUAUAGUUCUUCGGAAUUAGAGACCGGCGCACGGGUGCGUAACGCGUAUGCAAUCUACCUUUUACAGAGGGAUAGCCCAGAGAAAUUUGGAUUAAUACCUCAUAGUAUUAUGAAAUGGCAUCAUUUUAUAAUUAAAGUCACAACGGUAAAAGAUGAGCAUGCGUCCCAUUAGCUAGUUGGUAAGGUAACGGCUUACCAAGGCUACGAUGGGUAGGGGUCCUGAGAGGGAGAUCCCCCACACUGGUACUGAGACACGGACCAGACUCCUACGGGAGGCAGCAGUGAGGAAUAUUGGACAAUGGGCGCAAGCCUGAUCCAGCCAUGCCGCGUGCAGGAUGACGGUCCUAUGGAUUGUAAACUGCUUUUAUACAGGAAGAAACCCUGGUUCGUGAACCAGCUUGACGGUACUGUAAGAAUAAGGAUCGGCUAACUCCGUGCCAGCAGCCGCGGUAAUACGGAGGAUCCAAGCGUUAUCCGGAAUCAUUGGGUUUAAAGGGUCCGUAGGCGGGUUAGUAAGUCAGUGGUGAAAGCCCAUCGCUCAACGGUGGAACGGCCAUUGAUACUGCUAAACUUGAAUUAUUAGGAAGUAACUAGAAUAUGUAGUGUAGCGGUGAAAUGCUUAGAGAUUACAUGGAAUACCAAUUGCGAAGGCAGGUUACUACUAAUUGAUUGACGCUGAUGGACGAAAGCGUGGGUAGCGAACAGGAUUAGAUACCCUGGUAGUCCACGCCGUAAACGAUGGAUACUAGCUGUUGGGGGCAACUUCAGUGGCUAAGCGAAAGUGAUAAGUAUCCCACCUGGGGAGUACGUUCGCAAGAAUGAAACUCAAAGGAAUUGACGGGGGCCCGCACAAGCGGUGGAGCAUGUGGUUUAAUUCGAUGAUACGCGAGGAACCUUACCAAGGCUUAAAUGUAGUUUGACCGAUUUGGAAACAGAUUUUUCGCAAGACAAAUUACAAGGUGCUGCAUGGUUGUCGUCAGCUCGUGCCGUGAGGUGUCAGGUUAAGUCCUAUAACGAGCGCAACCCCUGUUGUUAGUUGCCAGCGAGUCAUGUCGGGAACUCUAACAAGACUGCCAGUGCAAACUGUGAGGAAGGUGGGGAUGACGUCAAAUCAUCACGGCCCUUACGCCUUGGGC
rnacentral:rRNA from 1 species